UACGGAGGGGGCGAGCGUUAUUCGGAAUCAUUGGGCGUAAAGCGCGCGUAGGCGGCGAGGCAAGUUGGAUGUGAAAGCCCUGGGCUCAACCUAGGAUGUGCAUACAAAACUGCCUCGCUUGAAUCUCGGAGGGGGUCAGGGAAUUCCCGGUGUAGAGGUGAAAUUCGUAGAUAUCGGGAGGAACACCAGUGGCGAAGGCGACUACCUGGCCUGUUCUUGACGCUGAGGCGCGAAAGCUAGGGGAGCAAACGGG
rnacentral:rRNA from 1 species